rnacentral:lncRNA from 1 species
CAAAUUCUGACAUUGGGGACAAUGAAAUUGUUUAUAGUUUCCACAAUUAAUUCAAAACACUUCUUAAAAUUUCAUCCUUGUAUCUAGAAAAAAUUUUGCUUUUCCAAUCAGGAAUUUUAGUUUCAUAAAAAGAACUAGGAAGUGAAAAUGAUGUAUAAAGGUUUUUUUCAAACUUCUCAAUGCAGAGAUUAUGUCCCAAUCAUCAUGAUGCUGAAAGACUUCAGAAAUAUGUGACUCUGUGUUUAAAUCAAGUACCUGACCUCAGAAAGAUGAGUGAUCAAACCUACUUACCAUAUGAUUAUUAAGGCAACUAGUUUAAAAAGAAAUUACAAGGUCAGUUGACCCAAGGAUGAGCAGGAUUUU